GCGCGAUUAGCUCAGUGGUAGAGCAAUGCCUUGACAUGGCAGAGGUCACUGGUUCAAAUCCAGUAUUGCGCACCA
rnacentral:tRNA from 2 species